rnacentral:rRNA from 1 species
GCCGAAAGCCCAAGGUUUCCUGAGGAAGGCUCGUCCGCUCAGGGUAAGUCGGGACCUAAGGCGAGGCCGAAAGGCGUAGUCGAAGGACAACAGUUUGAAAUUACUGUACCACCGUAAUCCGCUAUGAGCGAUGGGGUGACGCAGGAGGGUAGUGACGCGGACUGAUGGAUGUCCGUCUAAGCAGUGAGGCUGGUGUGUAGGCAAAUCCGCACA